ACAAAAAAAGGUGUGGCGCGCACCGUCACAUGGCACUCCCUGCUCCGCCACGUAUGGCUGCCACGCUCCCUUCGUCCGCCGUAGCACCGGCGCUGCUCCUCCGCCGCCACACCGGCGCUUCCCUAUCCUCCCGCUGCCGCCGGCGUUGGCAGCGCCCGGCUGCCAGACGGCGCGAAGGCCCCGGAGCUCCGCUGGGGAUGCGGGGCGCGCGGGAGCUGCCGCCAGCAGCGCCUGACCGAUGCAGUGGCGCGCGCGGAGCCACUCCGGCGGCGGCGGCGGCGGGGGAGGCGCCGUACAGAGGCAGCGAGGCGCAGGGGUCGCUCUGGAUGGUCUUGCUCGCCACCGCGGUGGUCGUGUGCGGCUCCCUCGAGUUCGGCACCUGUGUCGGGUAUUCGGCACCUGCUCAAGCCGGAAUUGUAGGCGACAUUGGACUGUCUAACUCCGAGUAUGGUGUCUUUGCAUCUGUCUUGGCGAUUGGAGCAAUGAUUGGUGCUCUGACUAGCGGCCGUCUGGCAGACGUACUUGGACGCAAAAUGACCAUGAGGUUUGCGGCAGUUGUAGGCAUUUUUGGUUGGCUUACUGUAUAUUUUGCCAAGGAUGCUAUAAUGCUCUAUGCUGGAAGAGUUCUGUUGGGCUACUGUACCGGAGUUCUUUCCUAUGUGGUGCCUGUGUUUAUAUCUGAAAUAGCACCAAAGGAUAUCCGAGGGGGCCUUGCAACCUCAAACCAGUUGUUCAUCUGUUUAGGGUGUUCAGCUGCUUACAUUAUUGGAGCACUUCUUUCAUGGCGCUCUUUGGUUGUAGUAGGAUUAGUACCUUGUGUGGUCCUACUUGUGGGGCUUUUCUUCAUUCCAGAGUCUCCAAGGUGGCUGGCCAACAUAGGGAGAGAGAAAGAGUUCCAUGCUUCAUUACAGAAGUUUAGGGGGAAAGAUUAUGACAUUUCUGAAGAGGCUACUGAGAUCAAAGGCUAUAUAGAAUCAAAUCAUAGAUUACCUAAGGCAAGGAUUCAAGAUUUGUUUCAGAGAGAAAAUAUUUAUGCUGUCACGGUUGGUGUCAGUCUGAUGAUUUUUCAGCAACUUGGAGGAAUAAAUGCCUUAGGCUUCUAUACAAGCUAUAUCUUUUCCUCCGCAGGGUUUUCUGGAAAACUCGGCAUCACCUUGAUUGGCAUUAUUCAGAUUCCAAUCACAUUGGUUGGGGCCCUUCUCAUGGAUAGGAGUGGAAGAAGAGCUCUUCUUUUGGUCUCUUCAUCUGGAACAUUUCUUGGCUGCUUUCUAACUGGGUUCUCAUUCUAUUUUAAGGCACAAGGACUGUACUCACAGUUGGUUCCUUCUUUGGCCCUUUGUGGCAUAUUGGUAAAAUUACAAUAACUGAAACUCCUAUAUCUAUGUAAUUUAAAUGCUAAUUUAUCUAUUCCAUGACUUCAAGCUAAUUCUAAGAGAAUCUCUAGAAAGACCGCUAAUCGGGAUCAACACUGUACAUUCUGAAUUGAUACGCAGUCCUCCUGCGUGUUCGAGAAAAAAACAUUGUACAUUCUGAAAUACUGAAAUGGAUCCUUUCUGAAAAUAACACCAUUGAACUUUUGGAGACUUUACACUGUGAUCCUUCUUUCUAAUAAAAUAGGUAUAUUACGCAGCAUACUCAGUUGGAAUGGGACCAGUUCCUUGGGUUAUCAUGUCUGAGAUAUUCUCAAUCAACAUGAAAGCAAUAGCUGGAGGCUUGGUAACCCUGGUCAGUUGGAUUGGUUCCUUUGCGAUUUCUUACUCAUUCAACUUCCUUAUGGGUUGGAACCCCGCAGGUACGUUCUUUUUGUUCUCUGCAGCGAGCUUGGUCACUGUUUUGUUCGUGGCAAAGCUAGUACCAGAAACUAAAGGGAGAACACUGGAAGAGAUCCAAGCAUCGCUCCAAGCCAGCACGUGAGAGACUGAUGAAGGACGUACGCACGCACCUUACCCACAAGGGAUUCAAAACAUUGUGGUAAAUACUCACCUCUUGUAAAUCGUUACCCGCAACGGAUUCAAAGCAUUGUGAUGAAUACUCACCUCUUGUAAAUUCUCGCCUCGUGUUAAAUUCUUGUGAUCUGGUGAAGGAUGUUUUUACUAAUUUCACCUCAUGUGAAUUCUUCUUCAUUGUACCUUUUCAAAAUAUAAGAUUGUUUGACUAGGUACGGUCUUUAAGGUCAUA